CAGUCUUAUACAAUCAGCAGCUUGCAUGUAGCUGCAGGCCCACCGAGGUUUUGCAAGGGGGAUGAUGAUGACGCACAUGUCCGUGCUUUGUUGGGUGGACAGAACUGACCCCACAGGUUGAAAGGUUCCUUUGAUGGCUCAAACAACACCAACUUCAAAUGCCAGUCAGCAAUUGCUUUUUGUUCGGUGUUGAAGGUGUUCUGGUGGUAGGCAUUCUGUCGACAAGACUGCACCUCCCUCCUCACUUUUCUUAAGACAGAGGAACUGCAGUGCAAUGAGGCGUUCGGUUCAGACGGCUCCUGAUGCUGGGAGACUGACAACCUCUUCCAAACGAUGGUUUUUAUACUACAAUGCUAAUGAGAAAAGUGGGGAAGGGACCCCAUCUCCUUUCAAGUCUGGAGGAAGAGGAAACAUUUUUCCUUCCACGUGUCCAAGUUUUAUUUACCCUCGUUGGAAAAUGCUGACUGACAAUGGAGGCCUGCACCCGUUUAGAGUCUACAUGGAAGGGGAACAAACGAUACGGACAUUUUGGAAGAAACCUUUGUGUGUUCUGCCUUGAGAAGCUUCAAGACACUCCCAAGGAAUUGGGAGGUCUUGUGAGGACCAACAUGAAGUGUACUGCCCCUUCUGCAGCAGCAGUUUCUCUUCUAUUUAAAAACA